rnacentral:rRNA from 1 species
AACGAACGCUGGCGGCAGGCCUAACACAUGCAAGUCGAGCGAACCCUUCGGGGUUAGCGGCGGACGGGUUAGUAACGCGUGGGAAUAUACCCUUUGGUACGGAAUAGCCUCGGGAAACUGAGAGUAAUACCGUAUGUGCCCUUCGGGGGAAGGAUUUAUCGCCAAAGGAUUAGCCCGCGUUGGAUUAGAUAGUUGGUGGGGUAAUGGCCUACCAAGUCUACGAUCCAUAGCUGGUUUGAGAGGAUGAUCAGCAACACUGGGACUGAGACACGGCCCAGACUCCUACGGGAGGCAGCAGUGGGGAAUCUUAGACAAUGGGCGCAAGCCUGAUCUAGCCAUGCCGCGUGGACGAUGAAGGCCUUAGGGUUGUAAAGUCCUUUCAGAUGGGAAGAUAAUGACGGUACCAUCAGAAGAAGCCCCGGCUAACUCCGUG